rnacentral:rRNA from 1 species
ACGAACGCUGGCGGCGUGCUUAACACAUGCAAGUCGAACGGUGAAGCGCCUUCCUUUUUGGUGGGUGUGGAUGAGUGGCGAACGGGUGAGUAACACGUGAGUAACCUGCCCCCUUCUUCUGGAUAACCGCAUGAAAGUGUGGCUAAUACGGGAUAUUCUGGGUCUGUCGCAUGAUGGGUCUGGGAAAGAUAUUGUUUCGGUGGGGGAUGGGCUCGCGGCCUAUCAGCUUGUUGGUGGGGUGAUGGCCUACCAAGGCGGUGACGGGUAGCCGGCCUGAGAGGGUGGACGGCCACACUGGGACUGAGACACGGACACGACUCCUACGGGAGGCAGCAGUGGGGAAUAUUGCACAAUGGGCGCAAGCCUGAUGCAGCGACGCCGCGGGAGGGAUGGAGGCCUUCGGGUUGUGAACCUCUUUCGCCAGUGAAGCAGGCCUGCCUCGUUUGUGGGUGGGUUGACGGUAGCUGGAUAAGAAGCGCCGGCUAACUACGUG